AAAAGAGACAUUUGGGGGCAUAAGAACUCGGCCGCGAGAGGUGAAAUUCUAAGACCGGCCGGGGUCUAACAAGAGCGAAAGCAUUUGCCAAGAAUGUUUUCAUUGAUCAAGAACGAAAGUUGGAGGAGCGAAAACGAUCAGAUACCGUUGUAGUUCCAACUUUAAACUAUGCCGACUGUCGGGGCCAGUUCGGUACAUCCGUACUAAUUGACCUCCCAGGGAAACCCUAGCAGGGUUCUGGGGGGAGUACGGUCGCAAGUCUGAAACUUAAAGGAAUUGACGGAAGGGCACCACCAGGAGUGGAGCCUGCGGCUUAAUUUGACUCAACGCGGGGAAACUUUCCCGGUCCGGACAUCGGAAGGAUUGACAGACUAAUCGCUCUUUCAUGAUACGGUGGGGAGUGGUGCAUGGCCGUUCAUAGUUGGUGGAGCGAUUUGUCUGGUUAAUUCCGUUAACGAACGAGAUUUUAUCCUUUAUUUAGUAGAUUUAAUUGGGGUUUAAAUCAACUAUUUAAAGGGACUAACGAUAUUUAAAAUCGUUGGAUGAAAAACAAUAACAGGUCUGUUAUGCCCUUAGAUGUCCGGGGCCGC
rnacentral:rRNA from 1 species